UACGAAGGGGGCUAGCGUUGUUCGGAAUCAUUGGGCGUAAAGCGCGCGCAGGCGGAUUGAUAAGUCAGGUGUGAAAUCUCGAGGCUCAACCUCGAAACUGCGCCUGAAACUAUUAGUCUAGAGUGUCGGAGGGGGUAGGGGAAUUUCACGUGUAGGGGUAAAAUCCGUAGAGAUGUGAAGGAACACCGGAGGCGAAGGCGCCUACCUGGACGACUACUGACGCUGAGGCGCGAAAGCGUGGGGAGCAAACAGG
rnacentral:rRNA from 1 species